CCUACGGGGGGCAGCAGUGGGGAAUAUUGCACAAUGGGGGAAACCCUGAUGCAGCGACGCCGCGUGAGUGAAGAAGUAAUUCGUUAUGUAAAGCUCUAUCAGCAGGGAAGAAAAUGACGGUACCUGAGUAAGAAGCCCCGGCUAACUACGUGCCAGCAGCCGCGGUAAUACGUAGGGGGCAAGCGUGCUCCGGAUUUACUGGGUGGAAAGGGAGCGUAGACGGCAGGGCAAGUCUGGAGUGAAAGGCGGGGGCUCAACCCCCGGACUGCUCUGGAAACUGGACGGCUGGAGUGCAGGAGAGGUAAGUGGAAUUCCGAGUGGAGCGGUGAAAUGCGUAGAUAUUAGGAGGAACACCAGUGGCGAAGGCGGCUUACUGGACUGUAACUGACGUUGAGGCUCGAAAGCGUGGGGAGCAAACAGGAUUAGAUACCCUUGUAGUC
rnacentral:rRNA from 1 species